rnacentral:rRNA from 1 species
UACGGAGGGUGCAAGCGUUGCUCGGAAUUAUUGGGCGUAAAGGGUAGGUAGGUGGUCUCGUUUGUCUGGGGUGAAAGCCUUGAGCUUAACUCAAGAAGUGCCCUAGAAACGGCGAGACUAGAGUUCUGGAGAGGGUCGUGGAAUUCCCGGUGUAGCGGUGAAAUGCGUAGAGAUCGGGAGGAACACCAGAGGCGAAGGCGGCGACCUGGACAGAUACUGACACUCAACUACGAAAGCGUGGGGAGCAAACAGG